GACGAACGCUGGCGGCGUGCUUAACACAUGCAAGUCGAACGGAAAGGCCCUGCUUUUGUGGGGCGCUCGAGUGGCGAACGGGUGAGUAACACGUGAGUAACCUGCCCUUGACUUUGGGAUAACUUCAGGAAACUGGGGCUAAUACCGGAUAGGAGCUCCUGCUGCAUGGUGGGGGUUGGAAAGUUUCGGCGGUUGGGGAUGGACUCGCGGCUUAUCAGCUUGUUGGUGGGGUAGUGGCUUACCAAGGCUUUGACGGGUAGCCGGCCUGAGAGGGUGACCGGCCACAUUGGGACUGGGAUACGGCCCAGACUCCUACGGGAGGCAGCAGUGGGGAAUAUUGCACAAUGGGCGGAAGCCUGAUGCAGCAACGCCGCGUGCGGGAUGACGGCCUUCGGGUUGUAAACCGCUUUCGCCUGUGACGAAGCGUGAGUGACGGUAAUGGGUAAAGAAGCACCGGCUAACUACGUG
rnacentral:rRNA from 1 species